rnacentral:lncRNA from 10 species
GGUAAUGUACACGAAAUAAAAUCUGCUUAAUUGUUACAGUCCAAGCUUUAAUUCAAUGCAUGCUAUAAAGUGACUUCCUAAUCACCAAGAAUUUCGAGAAACAAUUCUAAUUUAACUGUUUAUAACUUACAAACUUGGAUCAGGUCUACCCUGUCACAUCAUUCUAGGUUGAAGAAGCCUAACUAUUUUACUCUGAUCUUCUAUAGAAGCCUUAAAUAAAAAUACAUUGCUUUGUCUAACUAAGAGAGAUACAGGGGAUCUUGGUACAUGGAUAAUGGAGAAAUGAGGGGCCAGGGCCAAGUUUCCUGGCCAAGGGGAGAGCUCUUUUUUGUCUUCCUUUGGGGAUGAGACUCCCUUCAGUCACCCAGGAGAGACAUGCACAGGCACCGCCCUCUUCUGUCCUUUGUCUACACAUAUGAGGUAUAAACAGGGAGGCCCAGCUAGGGAAACAUGAUAUAUUAUUGAAUCUAGGUAAAUAGAUGUGUCUAAUUGCUUUAUUUCUUGUCAUUUGCUAUGCUUUUUUUGGAAAAGUAGUUUGAGCUGCAAACAAUUAGCAUGGGAUAUCUUUUCCCUGGAGGAGUGAAGUUGUUGUAGGCAAAGACUGAAAAGGAGGUAAACAUUCUGUAACUUCAUGUAGCUUUAUUAGUGUUCCAAAAUCUGUGAAUAUUCAAGCUCAAAUGAUUGUAAUGCAUACUUAAUGUUACAUUAGAGAAAUCUUUUAAAAAUUAUAUUACCCAUAAGUUUACUACCUUGUUAUGUUUGUAUAUUACCUCCCUAUGUGUAAAUAUUUUUAUAUAAUGCUUAUUUAUUUUUAAAGUAUAUUUAUUCUAAAUAUAUAUCUUCAUUUCAGGUUCAUCGGUUUGCCCUUCCAGUGUUACAUGGCUUUAUUACCAUGCAUUCAUGUUCUAUUAAUGGAAAAUACUUUGAUUGGAUUCUCAUCUCGAGGAGGA